GACGAACGCUGGCGGCGUGCUUAACACAUGCAAGUCGAACGGUGAAGCGCUUUCCUUUUUGGUGGGUGUGUAUGAGUGGCGAACGGGUGAGUAACACGUUAGUAACCUGCCCCCUUCUUCUGGAUAACCGCAUGAAAGUGUGGCUAAUACGGGAUAUUCUGUGCCUGUCGCAUGAUGGGUCUUGGAAAGAUAUUGUUUCGGAGUGGGAUGGGCUCGCGGACUAUCAGCUUGUUGGUGGGGUGCUGCCCUACCAAGGCGGUGUGGGGCAGCCGGCCUGGGAGGGUGGGCGGCAACACAGGGGCUGCGACGCGGACACGCCUACUACGGGCAGCAGCAGUGGGGAAUAGUGAACAGUGGGAGGCAGGAUGAUGCAGCGCCGCCGCGGGGGAGAAGGCGGCCGUCGGGUUGUGAACCUCUUUCGCGAGUGAAGCACGCCUGCCUAGUUUGUGGCUGGGUUGACGGUAGCUGGAUAAGAAGCGCCGGCUAACUACGUG
rnacentral:rRNA from 1 species